GGUGCUUGCAUCAUGAUUUACAUUUGAGUGAGUGGCGAACUGGUGAGUAACACGUGGGAAACCUGCCCAGAAGCGGGGGAUAACACCUGGAAACAGAUGCUAAUACCGCAUAACAACUUGGACCGCAUGGUCCGAGUUUGAAAGAUGGCUUCGGCUAUCACUUUUGGAUGGUCCCGCGGCGUAUUAGCUAGAUGGUGGGGUAACGGCUCACCAUGGCAAUGAUACGUAGCCGACCUGAGAGGGUAAUCGGCCACAUUGGGACUGAGACACGGCCCAAACUCCUACGGGAGGCAGCAGUAGGGAAUCUUCCACAAUGGACGAAAGUCUGAUGGAGCAACGCCGCGUGAGUGAAGAAGGGUUUCGGCUCGUAAAACUCUGUUGUUAAAGAAGAACAUAUCUGAGAGUAACUGUUCAGGUAUUGACGGUAUUUAACCAGAAAGCCACGGCUAACUACGUGCCAGCAGCCGCGGUAAUACGUAGGUGGCAAGCGUUGUCCGGAUUUAUUGGGCGUAAAGCGAGCGCAGGCGGUUUUUUAAGUCUGAUGUGAAAGCCUUCGGCUCAACCGAAGAAGUGCAU
rnacentral:rRNA from 2 species